AGAGUUUGAUCAUGGCUCAGGAUGAACGCUAGCGGCAGGCUUAACACAUGCAAGUCGAGGGGUAUAGUAGCAAUACUAGAGACCGGCGCACGGGUGCGUAACGCGUAUGAAUCUACCUUUUGCAGAGGGAUAGCCCAGAGAAAUUUGGAUUAAUACCUCAUAGUAUAAUUGAAUGGCAUCAUUUAAUUAUUAAAGUCACAACGGCAAAAGAUGAGCAUGCGUCCCAUUAGCUUGUUGGUAAGGUAACGGCUUACCAAGGCAACGAUGGGUAGGGGUCCUGAGAGGGAGAUCCCCCACACUGGUACUGAGACACGGACCAGACUCCUACGGGAGGCAGCAGUGAGGAAUAUUGGACAAUGGGCGCAAGCCUGAUCCAGCCAUGCCGCGUGCAGGAUGACGGUCCUUGGAUUGUAAACUGCUUUUGCUCAGGAAGAAACAACGCUACGUGUAGCGUCUUGACGGUACUGUGAGAAUAAGGAUCGGCUAACUCCGUGCCAGCAGCCGCGGUAAUACGGAGGAUCCAAGCGUUAUCCGGAAUCAUUGGGUUUAAAGGGUCCGUAGGCGGUCUUAUAAGUCAGUGGUGAAAUCUCCCCGCUCAACGGGGAAACGGCCAUUGAUACUGUAGGACUUGAAUUAUUAGGAAGUAACUAGAAUAUGUAGUGUAGCGGUGAAAUGCUUAGAGAUUACAUGGAAUACCAAUUGCGAAGGCAGGUUACUACUAAUGGAUUGACGCUGAUGGACGAAAGCGUGGGUAGCGAACAGGAUUAGAUACCCUGGUAGUCCACGCCGUAAACGAUGGAUACUAGCUGUUGGGUGCAAACUCAGUGGCUAAGCGAAAGUGAUAAGUAUCCCACCUGGGGAGUACGUUCGCAAGAAUGAAACUCAAAUGAAUUGACGG
rnacentral:rRNA from 1 species